GAUGAAGAACGUAGCGAAAUGCAAUAAGUAAUGUGAAUUGCAGAAUUCAGUGAAUCAUCGAAUCUUUGAACGCACAUUGCGCCCCCUGGUAUUCCGGGGGGCAUGCCUGUCCGAGCGUCAUUACAACCCUCAAGCUCAGCUUGGUGUUGGGCCCCGCCGCCCCGGCGGGCCCUAAAGUCAGUGGCGGUGCCGUCCGGCUCCGAGCGUAGUAAUUCUUCUCGCUCUGGAGGCCCGGUCGUGUGCUCGCCAGCAACCCCCAAUUUUUUUCAGGUUGACCUCGGAUCAGGUAGGGAUACCCGCUGAACUUAAGCAUAUCAAUAAGCGGAGGA
rnacentral:misc_RNA from 1 species